UACGGGGGGCGCAAGCGUUAUUCGGAAUUAUUGGGCGUAAAGGGCGCGUAGGCGGUCUUAUCGGUCAGAUGUGAAAGCCCGGGGCUCAACCCUGGAAGUGCAUUUGAAACAGUAAGACUUGAGUACGGGAGAGGAAAGCGGAAUUCCUGGUGUAGAGGUGAAAUUCGUAGAUAUCAGGAGGAACACCGAUGGCGAAGGCAGCUUUCUGGACCGAUACUGACGCUGAUGCGCGAAGGCGUGGGUAGCGAACAGG
rnacentral:rRNA from 1 species